rnacentral:rRNA from 1 species
AUGUUUGUAUUUAAGCUUUCGAAAAAAUGUAAAGGAAUCAUAGAUGCAAUAUCACAACAUUGGUGGGGUAAUGAUGCUACUGAAAGGAAGAUACAUUCGUAUGCCUGGUGGAAGCUUUGUCUUCCAGAAAAAUGAGGUGGUUUAGGUUUUCGUGAUCCUCAUAGCUUUAAUUUGGCAAUGCUUGCAAAGCAAGUCUGGCGGCUUUUGUGCAAUCCAGAGACUUUGUGCGCAAAAGUGUUGAGAGCGAAGUAUUAUCCACAUGGCAAACUGUUGAAAGCAAAAAUUAAGAGCGGUGCAUCCUUUACUUUGCAAAGUAUACUAGCCGGGGCUGCUACUUUUAAUAGAGGAUGUAUAUGGGGAGUGGGAUACGAGAUUGAGAUAAAUAUUUGGGAGGACAACUGGGUUCCCGGCCCGAUCAAUGCUAAGAUCUUGACACCGCAUGGUGUAUGUUUACUAAGUUCAGUGUCAGAAUUAAUGGACCCCAUAACUGGUCUGUGGGAUGAGAUCUUGGUAAGGUAUAUCUUUUGGCCAGUGGAUGCAAAUAGGAUCCUAGCGAUCCCGCUAUCUUCUCCUGUAUAG